CCCCACCCCCCUUUCAAUGUUGGGUCCCGUGGUCUCAGUUAGCCUCUCACUUUGGUGUGAUCAGGUAAACGCCUUGUAAUCCUCUUUUAGAGGCGUUAGGUAAACAGGGAGAUAAAUAGAUAGAAAAGGGAGGGUGUGGGAAGUGUCCCAACAACUUUUUGAAAAUGAUUGUAGUUCAAUCAACCAAUCAGUGUAAGCCAAAUUAAGCCAAAGCCUGACUUUGGCUUGCAGUGUGAACAUGGCUUAGUGUAAACAGGAAUUAACUCAAGGGAAUUAAGACUAGCACAAAGCAUGUAGCGUUGCAUCAUUAUUCUGAAUGAAAUCUUU